rnacentral:lncRNA from 1 species
GGGUGCGCGCUGGGCCUGCGCCUGGGCCGCGGGCGGAGCGCGGUGGAGCGUUGGGUGCUCGCCUGGCUCUGCUACGACUCACUGGUUCACUUUGUGCUGGGAAAGAGUAUGGCAAGGCUGACACAAGAUGGCUGUAUUCUGAUCCCACCGUUGUGUCUUUGGAAAUCCUGACUGUUGUCCUAGAUGGGCUCCUGGCGUUGGUCCUCAUUUAUGCCAUAGUCAAGGAGAAAUAUUACAGGUAAGUCCGAUCCCGUACAGCUAAUGUCCAGGGGGACAUUAGCUGCCCAAGUGACAUUUGGAUGAAGUUGCAAGCACAUUUGUCCACAAGACAAAGCUUUACAUAAGACUUAAGACAAGAUUUAUCGUGAAAUCUCAGCUAGGAAAGAGUGCUCCCAGCUUCUGAGACCUUUUCUCCACCACUUUUAAGAGGAUUAGCAGUAACAAUGAACUUUUCUUGGUUCCUUUGCUAUUAUUUUGGCCCCAUGACUACAAUUGCAGACACGUUACAAAUUUACAUAUGUGUUGUCUCAAACAAUGGUUGACUGUGAGUCGGGCACAAGAAAUGAAGCCCCUUUAUCAGCAAAUUUCAUUUACUCUCCAUGGUACCUUUUGAGGAAGGAUUGUUGUCACCUUUUGCAACAGGUGAAACUGACUGGUGACAAGAGCCAUACCCAGGUCUCUUUGAAGGUCCGAGGUGACCUCACUAGGUCCUCUUGAGAACAGUGCAGGGGACAGAGCAGUGUUGCUUCCCCAAGGAAAGAUAGCGCCUUCACUGUCUAAGCUGACAUGGCCCAUCAAAGAGGCACCACGCCGGAGCCUACAAACUUCUGUUGUAAGACUGUUGGUGCUGCUCUAGAGAAAAGCUGCUGUAACUCCGAGUUCCAAGCUGUGCCUGUUUCAUCUCAUGUCUCCUCCCCGCAGGCACUUUGUACAGAUUGUCCUGUGCGUGUGUGAGCUCUAUGGCUGCUGGAUGACCUUCUUCCCCGAGUGGCUCGUCGGAAGCCCCAGCCUCAACACCAGCAGCUGGCUCUACCUCUGGGUCUAUUUGGUGUUUUUUAAUGGCCUGUGGGUUCUGAUCCCAGGCCUGCUGCUGUGGCAGUCAUGGGUAGAACUGAAGAAGAGAGAUUCCCAAGAGGCUAAUUUAGCGAAGAAGCAUAAAUAAGUUCUCAGGGCAACCCAUUCUGACGAUCUGCUUUCCGAGUCAGAAUUGACCAGACAUUCCGAUCUGUGCUCCUUUUUUACAGUGUUUUGAAGCGGCCAUUACAGAUGGGCUGGAAGGGGGCAAACUUGGCUGUUUGUUUUUGGUUCUUUGAUUAAAUGAUGAUAUGAAGAGAACUUGGGGUGUGACUUAGUAGUGUUGUGCUUGUCUAGCAUUCACAAGGCCCUGAAUUGUUCCCUUAACACGACUAGGGGGUGCUGAGUACGUUCUCACCUGUCACAGAUCAUAUUUAAUGAGACGCUCAGUCAUGGCUGGCAGGCUAGUUAUGCCGUGUUAAUAAGUGAGUGUCAAAGAUACUGUAAGGAGUAGCAUCAAUGUUUACUCCAAAAAAAAAAAACCCAAAAAACAACAAAAAUCAAAACCCUUUUUGCUUCAGCUUUUAUUCUUCUCUGUGGUCUCGGGGUUAGUGACGGAAACCAAAAGCAAAAGGAGUUGGUUCUGUGUUAUGCCUACAAACUUCAAAUUGCUUCAAAUUUGUGUGCCCAACAGAGAACGAUAGUGGUAAUCUGGAGUAGUGGCGUCCAGGUGUACUUGGGAAGCUGAGGCCGGUGGGGGGCUUGAGGCUCCUUGGGGCGAUAUUGUAAUAUUCAUUUGAAAGAAAGAGGCAGAGGAGGGAGACUCGAUGUAAGGGGCAGAGGGUGGGACUGUGGCAACACACAAGAACCAAAAAAAUGUGGUAAAUCUUAACAGUACAACUAUAAGAUAAAUUCCAGAAGAUUCCAUGAAGUGCAGUUUGUGCCUUAACAGUCUGGGUGGCUGAGGAGGGGGGGCGCAAGCUUGGUACAGAAUCUGUACCCAGAUGGGGCAGGAUCAUGCUGGGUUUCAAACCCUGGUUCCAGGAAGUGACUGCCAUGGUUCUCUUACAGGUGGGAGAGGGUACUCACAAUACGACUUAACCCAUCCCUCUGCUCAGGAGAGCACCCACACCUGGACCCACGCCCGCUUCGUGGUACUGGGCACUGGAGCCAGGCCGCUCACUCUUUGCCAGUCUGGCUGCUGGUCCAGUUUAGGUCUCUCUUCCCCUUCAUCUCUUAUUCUUGGUCGUUUUGUUAAACGUAUGAAGGUCAGUGUCUCCAGCAUGCUAGGCAACCACUCCAGACUUGCUACCCACAAUCCUCCUGCCUCUACCUUCCAGGUGCUGAGAUUGAGGCGUAUGCCCAAGCCGCAGUCCUAAGUUUGGGUCUUGAGUGUGUUGCUCAUCAGCCGGUGUUGCUGAAGCAGGAGAGGCGGUCUUAGGUGGGGCCUGUGAGGAAGUUGACACACUAGGAUUUGCUCUUGAAGGGAUGUCAAGCCCCGCCUCUCUGUUCUUUAACUUUCCCGCCGCCAUGAAGUAAAUAGCUUU